AUUGAACGCUGGCGGCAGGCUUAACACAUGCAAGUCGAGCGGGGUGAUGGCGCUUGCACUAUCACUUAGCGGCGGACGGGUGAGUAAUGCUUAGGAAUCUGCCUAUUAGUGGGGGACAACAUCUCGAAAGGGAUGCUAAUAACGCAUACGUCCUACGGGAGAAAGCAGGGGAGCACUUGUGACCUUGCGCUAAUAGAUGAGCCUAAGUCGGAAUAGCUAGUUGGUGGGGUAAAGGCCUACCAAGGCGACGAUCUGUAGCGGGUCUGAGAGGAUGAUCCGCCACACUGGGACUGAGACACGGCCCAGACUCCUACGGGAGGCAGCAGUGGGGAAUAUUGGACAAUGGGGGGAACCCUGAUCCAGCCAUGCCGCGUGUGUGAAGAAGGCCUUAUGGUUGUAAAGCACUUUAAGCGAGGAGGAGGCUCCUUUGGUUAAUACCCAAGAUGAGUGGACGUUACUCGCAGAAUAAGCACCGGCUAACUCUGUGCCAGCAGCCGCGGUAA
rnacentral:rRNA from 1 species